rnacentral:rRNA from 1 species
CCUACGGGAGGCAGCAGUGGGGAAUCUUGCGCAAUGGGCGAAAGCCUGACGCAGCAACGCCGCGUGCGGGAAGAAGGCCUUAGGGUUGUAAACCGCUUUCAGUAGGAGCGAAAAUGACGGUACCUGCAGAAGAAGGUGCGGCCAACUACGUGCCAGCAGCCGCGGUGACACGUAGGCACCAAGCGUUGUCCGGAUUUAUUGGGCGUAAAGAGCUCGUAGGCGGUUCAGUAAGUCGGGUGUGAAAAACUCUGGGCGUUAACCACAGNGCCCGCCC